GUGUCAGCCGCCGCGGUAAAACGUAGGGGGCGAGCGUUAUCCGGAAUUACUGGGCGUAAAGGGCAUCUAGGCGGCAAUCUAAGUCCUGCGUGAAAGCUCCCGGCUCAACUGGGAGAGCGCGUGGGAGACUGGGUAGCUAGAGACUCGGAGAGGGGUGUGGAAUUCCCGGUGGAGUGGUGAAAUGCGUUGAGAUCGGGAGGAACACCAGUGGCGAAGGCGGCACCCUGGCCGAGGUCUGACGCUGAAGUGCGACAGCGUGGGGAGCAAACGGGAUUAGAUACCCCCGUAGUCC
rnacentral:rRNA from 1 species